rnacentral:misc_RNA from 1 species
GAUGAAGAACGUAGCGAAAUGCGAUACUUGGUGUGAAUUGCAGAAUCCCGUGAACCAUCGGGUCUUUGAACGCAAGUUGCGCCUCAAGCCAUUAGGUUGAGGGCACGUCUGCCUGGGCGUCACAUAUCGUUGCCUGAUGCCAGUUUCCUCGUGAUGGGUGACUGUGCAGGGCGAAUGAUGGCUUCCCGUGAGCAUUGUUGCCUCAUGGUUGGUUGAAAAUUGAGUCCUUGGUAGGGAGCGCCGUGAUCGAUGGUGGUUGAGUGACGAACGAGACCCAAUCAUGUGAGACCCCUACCGAAUUUGGCCUUCAUGACCCACAUGCGUCUUUGGAACGCUCAUGACGAGACCUCAUGUCAGGCGGGGCUACCCGCUGAGUUUAAGCAUAUCAAUAAGCGGAGGA